AACGAACGCUGGCGGCAUGCCUAACACAUGCAAGUCGAACGACACCUUCGGGUCUAGUGGCGCAUGGGGGCGUCACGCGUGGGAACCUGCCCUUAUGUACGGAAUAACUCCCCGACAGGGGUGCUAAUACCGGAUAAUUUACUCGGAUCAAGGAUUGAUCGCGUUUGGGUGAGCAGGAGUUGGUUUAGCUAGUUGGGAGUGUAAAAGCCUAUCAAGGCGUAGAUCGAUAGCUGGUCUGAGAGGAAGCUCAGCCACUCUGGGAGUGAGACACGGGCCAGACUCCUACGGGAGGCAGCAGUGGGGGAUAUAGGAAUAUGGGCGAGAGCCUGAAGCAGCUAUGCCGGGAGAGUGAUGAAGUUGUGAGGGAUGUAAAGCUCGUUUACCCGGGACUAUAAUGACGGUACCGGGAGAAUAAGCACCGGCUAACUUCGUG
rnacentral:rRNA from 1 species